rnacentral:rRNA from 1 species
GUGUCAGCAGCCGCGGUAAGACGAACCGUGCGAACGUUAUUCGGAAUCACUGGGCUUAAAGCGCGUGUAGGUGGGACGGCACGUCGGUCGCUGAAAGCCCCCGGCUCAACCGGGGAAGGGGCGCCGAUACGACCGACCUGGAGGGACGUAGGGGGACCUGGAACUUCCGGUGGAGCGGUGAAAUGCGUUGAGAUCGGAAGGAACGCCCGUGGCGAAAGCGAGGUCCUGGACGUUUUCUGACACUGAGACGCGAAAGCCAGGGGAGCGAACGGGAUUAGAUACCCCCGUAGUCC